rfam:Asian citrus Psyllid, Diaphorina citri - Florida Strain, whole genome shotgun sequence.
AUUGUUUUGCUCUUGGCGAGUUUGGGUUUAGUGCACAGUCCAAUUUCUUCAUCUCUCUGUGACUAGAUCCAUACUCGUCUAUAGCGAAUGUUC